GUCUCACUCUGCUGGUAUUGAUGGAUGGUAUAGGUCUCACACUCUGCUGGUAUUGAUGGAUGGUAUAGGUCUCACUCUGCUGGUAUUGAUGGAUGGUAUAGGUCUCACACUCUGCUGGUAUUGAUGGUUGGUAUAGGUCUCACUCUGCUGGUAUUGAUGGAUGGUAUAGGUCUCACACUGCUGGUAUUGAUGACUGGUAUAGGUCACACUCUGCUGGUAUUGAUGGCUGGUAUAGGUCUCACACUUGCUGGUAUUGAUGGAUGGUAUAGGUCUCACUCUGCUGGUAUUGAUGGAUGGUAUAGGUCUCACACUGCUGGUAUUGAUGGAUGGUAUAGGUCUCACUCUCUGCUGGUAUUGAUGGCUGGUAUAGGUCUCACUCUGAUGGUAAUGAUGGCUGGUAUAGGUCUCACACUGCUGGUAAUGAUGGCAGGUAUAGGUCUCACUCUGCUGGUAAUGAUGGCUGGUAUAGGUCUCACACUCUGCUGGUAUUGAUGGAUGGUAUAGGUCUCACUCUGCUGGUAUUGAUGGAUAGUGUAGGUCUCACUCUGCUGGUAAUGAUGGCUGGUAUAGGUCACACUCUGCUGGUAUUGAUGGAUGGUAUAGGUCUCACACUGCUGGUAAUGAUGGAUGGUAUAGGUCACACUCU
rnacentral:lncRNA from 1 species